rnacentral:rRNA from 1 species
GACGAACGCUGGCGGCAAGCUUAACACAUGCAAGUCGAACGCCGUAGCAAUACGGAGUGGCAGAGGGGUGAGUAACACGUGGGAACGUGCCUUUCGGUUCGGAACAACUGAGGGAAACUUCAGCUAAAACCGGAUACGCCCUUCGGGGGAAAGUUUACGCCGAAAGAUCGGCCCGCGUCAGAUUAGGUAGUUGGCGGGGUAAUGGCCCACCAAGCCGAUGAUCUGUAGCUGUUCUGAGAGGAAGAUCAGCCACACUGGGACUGAGACACGGCCCAGACUCCUACGGGAGGCAGCAGUGGGGAAUAUUGGACAAUGGGCGCAAGCCUGAUCCAGCUAUGCCGCGUGGAUGAAGAAGGCCUUCGGGUUGUAAAGUCCUUUCGGCGGGGAAGAUAAUGACGGUACCCGCAGAAGAAGCCCCGGCUAAUUUCGUGCCAGCAGCCGCAGUAAGAC